ensembl:lncRNA
GGGGGGAGUGAAAGGGAGUGGCAGUGAGCUGUCCAGCAACAUAAAGAUGGAAUGUACCUUGCCCUGACAACCUCAAGCUACAAGCUUGUUGCUCGGUUUGACUGAGCGGUUUCACAACCUCCAAUGACGGAAAACUAUAAGAAAUAUUUAAUAAAGAAUGGUGAAAGUAUUUAUCAUCUUUGCUGGAAACACUCUGAACACUCAUGCAAAGUUUUGGCAGCGCCUGGUCAGAAGUAACGAUGCGGAGGAAGUGGCCAACGUUAGAGACUGUGAUGUGACCCUCACAUUCUGUCCAAUCGUCUCACGAGUUGGAACUGAUGUAGAGGCAGCCGUCCAGCUGAUCCCAACAACUAGACCUGGAGUCCUGGUAUUACUGCACCCAACCUUUAACCCAGAGGAAAUAGUCCCAGACGCCAACAGAUUUGUAACCAGUGCUAAAAUCCUGACUGUCAACUGCUUGUUCCACGAGGGCACCCUACUGGACAGCCAUUGCAAUGACGAAGCCUUUGAAAGCGUUUCCAGUUACUUAAGGAAAAUUGCCCCACAUACUAGCUAUGAACUUCCUUCUCCACCUCAUAAUCGAAACCAUGGUUACAACUCCAUGCACAUGGUGGGGAUAACUGUCACACUAUUGGGUUUAAUCUUUAUUAUUUAUCUUUAUCUUAUGCCAUCGCUCCAAGACAAGCCAAUGGCCAGAGGUGGAAAUUCCACCUCCUCUUCACAUCUGUCAACCUAAAAUUUAAAAUGACAUGUAGUUGUUUAUGAACAAAAAUAAAUGAUCAGUCAAACCAAGAAAACAUUUUCAUACUCUUGAAUCAUCCUCAAAUAUACCAACUUUAACAAAACAUACAUGAUUGCACUGUCUACAAGAUUGUGUUUAAAAAACAAUAUACUUAUACCAUGUCAUGACAUGUCAUAUCACACCCCGUGAGCAGAAUUUGUUAAUGGUAAACUCUAGCAGAUUUGACCAGCUAUAAUAUGGUAGGUCUUCUAUCUCAGAAUUGUCUGGAAUUUCCACACACUUCGACAUAAAAUAGGCCUUAUUCAAUUCAGAGUUUGUAACUGAAGCUUCUCUUUCACACACUGUUUUUCAAAAGUUGGAAUAAUGCUUACUGGUGUGCAAUCAUGUCUCUUUUGCACUAUAAUAACUUCUGUUCUGCUGUAUCAUGUUUAAUUUGGAACACAUUUAGAAAGUUUAAGGAUUUAAAAUGAGACCUCAGCAAUUGUGAUGUUAACAUGUGGCAUAAAGAAAGUGAUGAAAUUAAAGACCUAUUAUGGGAGAAUUGGUAUUUUUUGCUAUUGAGCUCCCUCUAAAGAUGGAGAGUGUAGCUUACUUUUCAUGGAAAGUGUGUCUGCUUCUCAGAUGGAAGCUGGAAGAUUAUUCCACAGGAGAGGGUCUCGAUAGCAGAAGGCUCUGCCUCCUAUUGUGCUUUUUGACUUUCUUGGAAUUACAGAUCUGCACUCUGGGAACGAAGUGUUUUUGGUGUUAGAAGGAGUACUUUGAAAUCAAUUAUUCUUUUGACAGAGAGGCCAGUACAGGUGAGAUGUUCAAUAUAUUUUUUAGCUCUAGUAAGUGUGCGAGCAGAAACAUUCAGUAUGAGUUGGAGGCUCUUUAUUGAGUUGUUGCUAUGUCCAGACAGGAGAGGAUUGUUAGUUUAGUUUUUCGGCAUCUUGGAGGGAUAGGACUUUUCUAAUUUUGGCAAUAUUGCGUAGAUGAAAAAAUAGUGUCUGAGUUCUGUUUUCUGUGUAAGUCUAGUAGAAGGUAUUCGUUUAUAAUUAUACAGAGAUUUUUGGUGGAGUGUUGGAUGUUAAUAAGAUGCCAUUGAGUGUGGUAGAUGGUUAGAUAAUGCCAUUCUCGAUUGUUUAGGGCCUACAAGCAUAACCUCAGUUUUAUCUGAGUUAGGGAGCAGGAAGUUGUUAGUCAUCCAUGCUUAACAUCUUGCAAGCAAGCUUCCAUCUUGGGUAGCUGUACAAUUUCCUCAGAGUUCAUGGAUAGGUAGUCGGGCUAGCUAACCUGCAUAACAUUACUUAACUGUCGAUACGGUCGUCUGCUUGUUGUCAUUAGGUGAACGCUCUAAACUCGGAAGUAGGACCUUCCGGAAUGGGAACUUUCUCCAAUUCCCAGUUGCCCGAAUGCACACUGAGCAUGCACGUCUAAUUUCUCAUGUACAUCUGUCCUUUUGUUGAUGACACAACGAAAGGAAGGGAGAAUUAAGAGGGUGUCUUUAACUAUUAAUCUUUAACUUGCAUGUGGCAUCAGGAAGUACAUGCCACUGGCAGGAGGCGGGACAUGCACUUCAUGUACUCAGAGGUGUAAAGUAACGAAUUACUUUUACUCACGUUACUGUAAUUGAGUAGUUUUUUUGUGUACUUUGUAAUUUUUAAGUAGUUUUUGAAAUCGGUAAUUUUACUUUUACUUAAGUAGAUUUUGACUGAAGUAUUGUACUUCGCUACAUUGGACAUUACAUCCGUUACUGAGUAAAAAAAAAAACAUAGUUCAAGGCGGGAAUCGCGCACCACAAUUCUCACUGCAAUGGUGGAUGCUGCAUAGAGUAAAUGAUGGAGUCAUGCAAGGAGCCGGUACGGUGCCGAGUCACGAGAGAUAGAUAUGGAGGAAGAUGAUAGUGCGGACUACCAACAAGCUGAAGCACCGAACUUUCCGCCAGUUGAAAUUAAAGAAGAUGAAGAAAACCCGUGGCCAUAUCUCAGCAAGCAGUUUGCCUUCCAACGUAAAAGAGGCAACAGCUAUAUGCUGUGUAAACUGUGCCUAAUCCGCCAGUCAGAACUUUCUGCUUAUACAAAUUCAUCUUCAAAUCUGCGCAAGCAUGUGUUGGUAAGUACAGUAUUUGUCCCUUUCCAUUAGUAGUUCAGACAGCGUUUUUGUCAUUUAGUUAGCUUUGCUCCAUUAAGCAAAAUAUGCGUUUCAUGGCACUAGUAGGUAGUAGCCUAAUUUUGGCUAGCACUUGCAACCGACCUGAGUAUGCUAACGUCGACAGCGGUCAUCCAAUAGACUAAUAAUACCAUUCCUGUCUUCCAUUCGUUUC